rnacentral:rRNA from 1 species
AUUGAACGCUGGCGGCAUGCCUUACACAUGCAAGUCGAACGGCAGCACGGGUGCUUGCACCUGGUGGCGAGUGGCGAACGGGUGAGUAAUACAUCGGAACAUGUCCUGUAGUGGGGGAUAGCCCGGCGAAAGCCGGAUUAAUACCGCAUACGAUCUACGGAUGAAAGCGGGGGACCUUCGGGCCUCGCGCUAUAGGGUUGGCCGAUAGCUGAUUAGCUAGUUGGUGGGGUAAAGGCCUACCAAGGCGACGAUCAGUAGCUGGUCUGAGAGGACGACCAGCCACACUGGGACUGAGACACGGCCCAGACUCCUACGGGAGGCAGCAGUGGGGAAUUUUGGACAAUGGGCGAAAGCCUGAUCCAGCAAUGCCGCGUGUGUGAAGAAGGCCUUCGGGUUGUAAAGCGCUUUUGUCCGGAAAGAAAUCCUUGGCUCUAAUACAGUCGGGGGAUGACGGUACCGGAAGAAUAAGCACCGGCUAACUACGUG